rnacentral:tRNA from 1 species
AUAAAGUUGGCAGAAUUAUGUGAAUAAUUUAGGAUUAUUUUAUAAAAGUAUAUCUUUUACUUUAUAU